AAAGUCGCCCACAGUGCCAACACGGAAUUAUAACAACUCAACAUUUUGGUGUAUUUAUUUUGUGUUAUUUAUUUUUUGUUCUAAUCCUAUACUUAGGUCCUGUAAUUCAGUGCUGUUAAUUACGUUACUAAAACUUUUCUAUCACCCCAAACAGAAAUUCUGUACCAAUUACUCCCCAUUCCCUAUCCCAGAAACUAGAAAAAAGAUGGAAUUUCUGGCCCAAAAUAGGAUGGGGAGAUGUUCUGGGGAGAACCCCAACUUCCCCACCCACACCAAUUAGUCCUGAGCCAUCCUGUGCAAUGCACGUGUCGGUAGAAAUAGUCAAACCUUCCAUGUUGGAGAGGAGCCCCCAAAUUCGAGAACCUCUCUUCUCUGGGCCAGGCUGGGAGCUCUCCCAAACCUCUUUUACUCGCUUGUCAAAAAAAAGCCCAGGGAGGGGACAGCCCUGCGCUCACGCAUUCGGACCUGCAGCUGCUGUCGGGGCCCUGGGCCCGGGACCAGGAGGAGGUGGAUUCCCCUGUGGUUCGCAAGGAUGGGGCCGUGGCCCUGCAAGUAGAGCUCGAGCCUAGCUUUCGGGACACGAGAGGGACACAGGGGCCCAGCAUCUUGGAUGAGGUCCAGUCACCUCUGUUAUUCCCAGUUAGCUAUCAGGAGGCAGAAAUUACUGAAAUUUCUUCCCCUGGAGGCCCUCCAAAGACAAAAGACAUUGGUGUAUGCAACAAUCUGUUGGUUACUUGCUGUGGUAGUUUGGAGGCUGUAUGUACCCAGAAACGAUCACGUUCUUUGAAUCCAUUCCUGUGGGUGCAGACCUGUUGUGGGUGGGAACUUCUGAUUAGGGUGUUUCAGAUGCGGCCUGCUUCAGGGUAGUUUUUAAUCCUCUUACUAGAGUCCUUACUGGAGGAUAAAAGACAGAAAAAGCCCAGAGAAGUUUAGAGAAAAACCCUGGAGAAGCUAAGAGAGGACUCACGGAAAAUGGGGA